rnacentral:rRNA from 1 species
CCGGUAAACGGCGGCCGUAACUAUAACGGUCCUAAGGUAGCGAAAUUCCUUGUCGGGUAAGUUCCGACCUGCACGAAUGGCGUAAUGAUGGCCAGGCUGUCUCCACCCGAGACUCAGUGAAAUUGAACUCGCUGUGAAGAUGCAGUGUACCCGCGGCAAGACGGAAAGACCCCGUGAACCUUUACUAUAGCUUGACACUGAACAUUGAGCCUUGAUGUGUAGGAUAGGUGGGAGGCUUUGAAGUGUGGACGCCAGUCUGCAUGGAGCCGACCUUGAAAUACCACCCUUUAAUGUUUGAUGUUCUAACGUUGACCCGUAAUCCGGGUUGCGGACAGUGUCUGGUGGGUAGUUUGACUGGGGCGGUCUCCUCCUAAAGAGUAACGGAGGAGCACGAAGGUUGGCUAAUCCUGGUCGGACAUCAGGAGGUUAGUGCAAUGGCAUAAGCCAGCUUGACUGCGAGCGUGACGGCGCGAGCAGGUGCGAAAGCAGGUCAUAGUGAUCCGGUGGUUCUGAAUGGAAGGGCCAUCGCUCAACGGAUAAAAGGUACUCCGGGGAUAACAGGCUGAUACCGCCCAAGAGUUCAUAUCGACGGCGGUGUUUGGCACCUCGAUGUCGGCUCAUCACAUCCUGGGGCUGAAGUAGGUCCCAAGGGUAUGGCUGUUCGCCAUUUAAAGUGGUACGCGAGCUGGGUUUAGAACGUCGUGAGACAGUUCGGUCCCUAUCUGCCGUGGGCGCUGGAGAACUGAGGGGGGCUGCUCCUAGUACGAGAGGACCGGAGUGGACGCAUCACUGGUGUUCGGGUUGUCAUGCCA